GACAGCGGCCUGCUUGGGGGACAUACUUCUUUAUAUGCCCAUAUGAACACGAGCAACUAUGGAAUGUAAAGAAGUAUGUAUCCCAGGUUGGGAGAAAUGAC